AAGGCUGAGGCGUGAUGACGAGGCACUACGGUGCUGAAGCAACAAAUGCCCUGCUUCCAGGAAAAGCCUCUAAGCAUCAGGUAACAUCAAAUCGUACCCCAAACCGACACAGGUGGUCAGGUAGAGAAUACCAAGGCGCUUGAGAGAACUCGGGUGAAGGAACUAGGCAAAAUGGUGCCGUAACUUCGGGAGAAGGCACGCUGAUAUGUAGGUGAAGUCCCUCGCGGAUGGAGCUGAAAUCAGUCGAAGAUACCAGCUGGCUGCAACUGUUUAUUAAAAACACAGCACUGUGCAAACACGAAAGUGGACGUAUACGGUGUGACGCCUGCCCGGUGCCGGAAGGUUAAUUGAUGGGGUCAGCGCAAGCGAAGCUCUUGAUCGAAGCCCCGGUAAACGGCGGCCGUAACUAUAACGGUCCUAAGGUAGCGAAAUUCCUUGUCGGGUAAGUUCCGACCUGCACGAAUGGCGUAAUGAUGGCCAGGCUGUCUCCACCCGAGACUCAGUGAAAUUGAACUCGCUGUGAAGAUGCAGUGUACCCGCGGCAAGACGGAAAGACCCCGUGAACCUUUACUAUAGCUUGACACUGAACAUUGAGCCUUGAUGUGUAGGAUAGGUGGGAGGCUUUGAAGUGUGGACGCCAGUCUGCAUGGAGCCGACCUUGAAAUACCACCCUUUAAUGUUUGAUGUUCUAACGUGGACCCGUGAUCCGGGUUGCGGACAGUGUCUGGUGGGUAGUUUGACUGGGGCGGUCUCCUCCUAAAGAGUAACGGAGGAGCACGAAGGUUGGCUAAUCCUGGUCGGACAUCAGGAGGUUAGUGCAAUGGCAUAAGCCAGCUUGACUGCGAGCGUGACGGCGCGAGCAGGUGCGAAAGCAGGUCAUAGUGAUCCGGUGGUUCUGAAUGGAAGGGCCAUCGCUCAACGGAUAAAAGGUACUCCGGGGAUAACAGGCUGAUACCGCCCAAGAGUUCAUAUCGACGGCGGUGUUUGGCACCUCGAUGUCGGCUCAUCACAUCCUGGGGCUGAAGUAGGUCCCAAGGGUAUGGCUGUUCGCCAUUUAAAGUGGUACGCGAGCUGGGUUUAGAACGUCGUGAGACAGUUCGGUCCCUAUCUGCCGUGGGCGCUGGAGAACUGAGGGGGGCUGCUCCUAGUACGAGAGGACCGGAGUGGACGCAUCACUGGUGUUCGGGUUGUCAUGCCAAUGGCACUGCCCGGUAGCUAAAUGCGGAAGAGAUAAGUGCUGAAAGCAUCUAAGCACGAAACUUGCCCCGAGAUGAGUUCUCCCUGACUCCUUGAGAGUCCUGAAGGAACGUUGAAGACGACGACGUUGAUAGGCCGGGUGUGUAAGCGCAGCGAUGCGUUGAGCUAACCGGUACUAAUGAACCGUGAGGCUUAACCUU
rnacentral:rRNA from 1 species